UUAGUUUAUUUAACUAUUUUCAGAUAUAACAUGGUUAAAAAGUAUUUGUGGUAGGCUACUGACGGGCACUGGCCAGGGGUUUAAAACCCCCGACGGUCCGGUUAAAGACGGGCCCGCCAAAGCAACAUGGUAGUUAAACAAAGGGUUGGAGGUCGGGCCUGGAGGACCCUAACUCAUUAAUGAUCCUUCCGCAGGUUCACCUACGGAAA
rnacentral:misc_RNA from 1 species